CGCGUAGGCGGUUGUGUAAGUCAGAUGUGAAAUCCCCCGGCUCAACCGGGGAACUGCAUUUGAUACUGCACGACUCGAGUAUUGGAGAGGGAAACGGAAUUCCCGGUGUAGAGGUGAAAUUCGUAGAUAUCGGGAGGAACACCGGUGGCGAAGGCGGUUUCCUGGCCAAAUACUGACGCUGAGGCGCGAAAGCGUGGGUAGCAAACAGGAUUAGAUACCCUGGUAGUCCACGCCGUAAACGGUGAGUACUGGGUGUGGGAGGUGUAAUGCCUUCUGUGCCGAAGCUAACGCGUUAAGUACUCCGCCUGGGGAGUACGGCCGCAAGGUUGAA
rnacentral:rRNA from 1 species